UGCCAGAUCCGCUUUGGAGGGAGAAAAGAGAUCGCCUCGGAUUCUGACAGCAGGGUGACCUGUCUGUGUGCCCAGUUUGAGGCCGUCCUGCAGCAUGGCCUGAAGAGGAGUCGAGGAUUAGCCCUCACAGCAGCCGCGAUCAAACAGGCAGCCGGCUUUGCCAGCAAAACCGAAACAGGUACUGCUUGGCCUGAUGCCUCCCCUCCUUUCUCUUGCUCUCUUUGAAUUUUUAUUUGUUUUUUAAUAGCAGGCAAGGCAGUCAUUGUGCAGGACCAGUGGGGGCUGGUGGCGCGUGGUGGCGGGGAAAUCCAGGGCAAGGCUGUCUUACUCGCGGUAACCGGUGUUGGCUGGCAUCUUAAUUUAAAUGAGGUCACCCUUGGCGCAGAAUUCUCAGAGCCACACAUUGUGGUCUCCAAGGGGCUUGGGGGGCCCACCGCCAAGGUGUUUAUUUCACCAAUGUAGGGCGGCAGUUGCUGAGAAAUGAAUAAUCUGUUCUAAUUUUAUGCGUGGAGCUAGCACGGCAUUUUAUAAUUAAAUCUAUCUUCAGUAACAGCAACAGAUACCACUCAGGUCUGUGAGCUUAUAAUGCUGUUCCCGUCCAUUUUCAAGUUGUCAAAGUAUUUCCCUUGUCCCGUGUUCCUGGGUCUCGGAAUGACAGGGGUAAUAGUAAUAACUCCUAACAUUCAUGGGUACUCAGUGCAAGCACUUCGUUCGUCUUUUCUGUAAAUUAAAUCAGUUCACAUGCCAGCCCUGGGAGUGGUUGGACCUCCGUCUUCUCCACGGGGCAGAUGUGAUUUGUUCACCGUGAGUUGCUUGGAUCUGAACUUUGAAGCAUGUGUCAUGUCAUAUAAAAAACAUCCUGGGAGUUUCCAUACGGUUCAGUGGGUUAAGAACCUGACUAGUAUCCAUGAGGAUGCAGGCUGGACCCCUGGCCUCACUUGAGGUGAGAAUCUGGCAUUCCCAUGAGCUGUGGUGUAGAUGACAGAUGCGGCUUGGAUCUGGCGGUGCUGUGGCUGUGGUGUCGGCCAGCAGCUGCAGCUCUCAUUCCACCCCCAGCCCGGGACCUUCCAUAUGCUGCAGGUGAGGCCCAAGAAAGGAAGGAAGGAAGGAGGGAGGGAAGGAAGAAAGAAAGAAUCCUGUGUCCUUCUUCUUUCUCCAGGUUUAAAGAGCAGGUUUUUUUUAGACCCUGCUUGUGGCUGCCACACUGAAUUCCCAAGUCUUUCCUGGUACUGUGAUGGCAGUGUCACUGCUGAGUGGAAUGUGUCACCUUUUGCUAGUUCACCUCCUUGCGCAGAGAAACAUCAGCGCCUGCCGUGUCUGGUAGAGGCAUCUGGGAGAUUCUCUGCCGACCAAGCCGAGACCCAUGCCCUUCCCUUUCAUUCAUGGCUGGCGUCUCACCCUUCUUCUCUCAGCCCUUCGGUGAAUCUUUGAUUCCUGUUUGUCUCACUAGUUGCUCAUUUCCAGAAAUGGAUGUGGUUCCCAUUGGGGUCAGGCGACAGUUGUAAGAGGGAUUUCUGUCACUCUUGAUUUUUCUUCUGUGUUCCGCGUCUCCUCCUUACGAGGCAGGGAUGAAGGGGGCAGGUUCAGAGAAGAGCCAGCAUCCAGGGCCUCAGUCCUCGGAGAACACGCUGCCAGCUGCCCGCCCAUCUCAGAUGUCGGCCUCAGGUGGCGCGGGGGCAGAUUAAGGGCAGGUGCUUCCCUGAGCCUCUGUGUGGGGACGGCUUAGGGCUGGUUGGCCAGGUUUUGAGAAAGGUGGCUUUUCCGAGAACCCUCCUCGGCCUGCUGGGUGGGCCCUCAUGUGUCUUCUCGUUUCCUUCUUACCUGUCUGGGGUGGGGUGGGGAGGCCACUUGAGAGACGCUUGUGUGGAGUCUCCAGCGCCGGGGCUCUGGGCUCCUCUGACUGGGGCAGGGCAGCUCCUGGGCGUGACCGAGGCAGUCUUGGCUUUGGAGUCAGGCUCUGAGGGUCAGUCUGGCAUGACCCUGGGAACACGCCCUGCUGCGCCGCAGUCACUGUUCUCACCUGUAGAGGCAGAUGGUCUGGUCAGCCUGGAGGGUGGUCGGAAGAACCUCAUGUCAAGGCCCUGCUUCAGACCCCACAGACCCCACCCCCACAUCAGUGUUUAACCCGAUACCCUCUUCUCCCAAACACGCUUUACACUUUCAGCAGCUUUUUCCAUCUCAUCCUCUCCUAAAGCUCUGACCUUCAGACCAUGGCGAAUGGCUCUUUCUAUUCCCAUGCAGACUAGAAUUCUUGUCUUUUUGUUACUCAGCCCCUCAUAGUCACAGUAGCACCCGCAUGUGUGCACAGCGCCGCCAGCUUUCUUGCUCUUGCUCUUUUCCUGCACCUCAGCAUGAUUCCUCUGCUUGCACCCCAAAGAGGUGGAUGGACCAGCAGCCUCUGGCUUUGUUUCCGCAGAGGAGGUCGUGCUAGGCUUACCCCCAAAGUGGCUUACCCUGGGAGUGGCUGCCAAGGGCUCGUGUCAUCCUUGUCAGCAGUGUUAAUUAACCAUUCACGGGUGCAGGAUGGUCCUUGGCUGAUGAAAACCUCUUUCCUGCCAUUGAACAUUUGAUUAAAAACCUCAUGCGAGAGGGUGCAGGUGUUUUGUUUUGUUUUGUUUUCUCCUGCUGCUAAGAGUUGGGAAAGAUCAGAUCAAUGGCUUCCUGGCAUUCUUAAAGCCAUUGCAAUGACCUUACCCAGCAGAAUGAAGGAGAUGAAAUCUGAAGCGAAGGCCUGGCUGGGAGCGAGCAUUGCUCUGCUCCCUGCUGGCUGCUGGGCCGGGCCGUCUGUGUAGCGGAGUGAUUGGAUGGUGAGGAUUUGUCAGUGGCUUGUCACCCACGAGCUCUCUGGGACGUCUUGUUCUCGGAGCAUCUUGUUUCCUCCUGUGUGAACUAAGAGUGAUGCCAGGCCCGCCUUGCAGGGCUGCGGUGGGGCACACGGCCUUGGUGCUGGGCCAGCCGAGCUUGUGCGUGAUGAUGACAUGCCAGUAACUUCCCAGCGCAGGCGGUGAUGUCCGAACGUUUCAGAUGGUGACACUGAGACUCACACAAGUGACUCUCGUUCCCACAGCUGGUCAGUGUAGAGCUGAGGAUUCCAGCCCAGAUCAGACCAGUGUCAGACUCCUGGCUCUUCCCUGACCCCCUUCCCCCCCCCAUCUUCUGGCAGCAGCCUGGUACCCGUUACUGUCCCUC
ensembl:lncRNA